GCCCAGCUGGCUCAGUCGGUAGAGCAUCUGAUACUUGAUCCCAGGGUUGUGAGUUCAAGCCCCACAUUGGGCA
rnacentral:tRNA from 1 species